AAAGUCUUUCGUGAGAAGAGAUGGUAGGCUUGAUACGGAUACAGCUGCUUAUCACCCACCUUAGAAUCAAGCAGUUCAGUUCGACUAUACCCGCCUUAAUUCCCUCAUUCAGGACAGAUGGAAGCAGGUUAUGGAUCUGUUCAAGUUGGUCGAUCAAUCCCUCCUUUCUUUCCCCUGCCUCCGGACACCUUAGAAUAGAUUUGAUUGGAAGGAGGGUGAGGAACGAACACAGUGGUUUGACUGCUGGGAUCCCAAUCGGCCUGCAUCAGCGGAAAAUGGAACUAUCGAAUCACGGGUGACUCGCUUUAUCAGGAUGGGAAGAAUUGCAACAUCG
rnacentral:lncRNA from 1 species